rnacentral:rRNA from 2 species
GAGUGGCGGACGGGUGAGUAACACGUAGGUAACCUGCCCAGAAGCGGGGGACAACAUUUGGAAACAGAUGCUAAUACCGCAUAACAACGUUGUUCGCAUGAACAACGCUUAAAAGAUGGCUUCUCGCUAUCACUUCUGGAUGGACCUGCGGUGCAUUAGCUUGUUGGUGGGGUAAUGGCCUACCAAGGCGAUGAUGCAUAGCCGAGUUGAGAGACUGAUCGGCCACAAUGGGACUGAGACACGGCCCAUACUCCUACGGGAGGCAGCAGUAGGGAAUCUUCCACAAUGGGCGCAAGCCUGAUGGAGCAACACCGCGUGAGUGAAGAAGGGUUUCGGCUCGUAAAGCUCUGUUGUUAAAGAAGAACACGUAUGAGAGUAACUGUUCAUACGUUGACGGUAUUUAACCAGAAAGUCACGGCUAACUACGUGCCAGCAGCCGCGGUAAUACGUAGGUGGCAAGCGUUAUCCGGAUUUAUUGGGCGUAAAGAGAGUGCAGGCGGUUUUCUAAGUCUGAUGUGAAAGCCUUCGGCUUAACCGGAGAAGUGCAUCGGAAACUGGAUAACUUGAGUGCAGAAGAGGGUAGUGGAACUCCAUGUGUAGCGGUGGAAUGCGUAGAUAUAUGGAAGAACACCAGUGGCGAAGGCGGCUACCUGGUCUGCAACUGACGCUGAGACUCGAAAGCAUGGGUAGCGAACAGGAUUAGAUACCCUGGUAGUCCAUGCCGUAAACGAUGAGUGCUAGGUGUUGGAGGGUUUCCGCCCUUCAGUGCCGGAGCUAACGCAUUAAGCACUCCGCCUGGGGAGUACGACCGCAAGGUUGAAACUCAAAGGAAUUGACGGGGGCCCGCACAAGCGGUGGAGCAUGUGGUUUAAUUCGAAGCUACGCGAAGAACCUUACCAGGUCUUGACAUCUUGCGCCAACCCUAGAGAUAGGGCGUUUCCUUCGGGAACGCAAUGACAGGUGGUGCAUGGUCGUCGUCAGCUCGUGUCGUGAGAUGUUGGGUUAAGUCCCGCAACGAGCGCAACCCUUGUUACUAGUUGCCAGCAUUAAGUUGGGCACUCUAGUGAGACUGCCGGUGACAAACCGGAGGAAGGUGGGGACGACGUCAGAUCAUCAUGCCCCUUAUGACCUGGGCUACACACGUGCUACAAUGGACGGUACAACGAGUCGCGAACUCGCGAGGGCAAGCAAAUCUCUUAAAACCGUUCUCAGUUCGGACUGCAGGCUGCAACUCGCCUGCACGAAGUCGGAAUCGCUAGUAAUCGCGGAUCAGCAUGCCGCGGUGAAUACGUUCCCGGGCCUUG